rnacentral:rRNA from 1 species
CAGUCGCCGCGGGAAUACGUAGGGUGCGAGCGUUAAUCGGAAUUACUGGGCGUAAAGCGUGCGCAGGCGGUUGUGUAAGACAGGUGUGAAAUCCCCGGGCUUAACCUGGGAACUGCGCUUGUGACUGCACAGCUAGAGUAUGGCAGAGGGGGGUGGAAUUCCACGUGUAGCAGUGAAAUGCGUAGAGAUGUGGAGGAACACCGAUGGCGAGGGCAGCCCCCUGGGCCAAUACUGACGCUCAUGCACGAAAGCGUGGGGAGCAAACAGGAUUAGAUACCCCCGUAGUCCCUGUCUCUUAUAA